GACGAACGCUGGCGGCGCGCUUAACACAUGCAAGUCGAACGGAAAGGCCUGCUUUCCCUUGUGGAUUUCGGGUACUCGAGUGGCGAACGGGUGAGUAACACGUGAGUGAUCUGCCCCCAACUUGGGUAUAAGCCUGGGAAACUGGGUCUAAUUCCCGAUAGGACUGCAGGGUGUUCCCUUUGUUGGAAAACGAUUUUCUAGUGGUUGGGGAUGAGCUCGCGGCCUAUCAGCUUGUUGGUGGGGUAAUGGCCUACCAAGGCGGAGACGGGUAGCCGGACUGAGAGGGUGGACGGUCACACUGGGACUGCGAUACGGCAAAGACUCCUACGGGAGGAAGACGUGGGGAAUCAUGCAAAGUGGGGGGAAGACCGAAGCAGCGACGCAGAGUGGGGGAAGACGGCGUUCGGGUUGUAAACUCCUUUCGCCAGCGAGGAAGACACGUCGUUGGAAGGGUAGUCACGGUAGUGGGAGAAGAAGCACCGGCUAACUACGUG
rnacentral:rRNA from 1 species